rnacentral:rRNA from 1 species
AUACGGAGAGUGCAAGCGUUAUUCGGAAUCACUGGGCGUAAAGGACGCGUAGGCGGGUUGGCAAGUCAGAUGUGAAAUCCUACAGCUUAACUGUAGAACUGCAUUUGAAACUGCUAACCUAGAGUAUGGGAGGGGGAGAUGGAAUUAGUGGUGUAGGGGUAAAAUCCGUAGAUAUCACUAGGAAUACCGAAAGCGAAGGCGAUCUCCUGGAACAUAACUGACGCUAAGGCGUGAAAGCGUGGGGAGCAAACAGGAUUAGAUACCCCAGUAGUCC